CCAAUAGCGUAUAUUAAAGUUGUUGCAGUUAAAAAGCUCGUAGUUGAAUUUCGGGAUCAGUACGCUGGUCAUGCCUUCGGUAUGUACUGGUGUUACUGGUUCCUACCUUCUGACGAACCGUCAUGUCAUUAAUUUGGUGUGGCGGGGAAUCAGGACUGUUACUUUGAAAAAAUUAGAGUGUUUAAAGCAGGCUCGCGCUUGAAUACAUUGGCAUGGAAUAAUGAAAUAGGACGUUCGAUCCUAUUUUGUUGGUUUCUAGGAUUGACGUAAUGAUUAAUAGGGAUAGUUGGGGGCAUUAGUAUUCAAUUGUCAGAGGUGAAAUUCUUGGAUUUAUUGAAGACUAACUACUGCGAAAGCAUUUGCCAAGGAUGUUUUCAUUAAUCAAGAACGAAAGUUAGGGGAUCGAAGACGAUCAGAUACCGUCGUAGUCUUAACCAUAAACUAUGCCGACUAGGGAUCGGAUGAUGUUAUUUUUAAUGACUCAUUCGGCGCCUUACG
rnacentral:rRNA from 1 species